UGUGUGUCUGUGCGUGCGCGUGUGGAUGUGUGUGUGUGUUAGUUACAGUCAUGUCUUUACACCUGAGCCGGGGCAUGUAGUUAACCGGGUUUCUGGGCGUGGGAAGGACUGUCUCACUUGUUUUGUCGCUGGGAAUAUUGUUGAACCAAACUUCCAGCAGUGACUCUCCAACCAACACACCUUCAUUUCUCUCCAGUUUGCGCUCGUCCACGGCGGGUUUUCUCCCUCACAUCAGGAUGUAAAUUUGGGGAACUUUUUUUUUUUAAUCCGACUGGUAUCAUAAAGGACGACUUUUUUUUCCUCUUUUUCUUUUUAAAUAUAUCCUCCGUUCCUUUUCAUAUCUUUUUUUUGGGGAAUAUAGAAAGAAAACAACGGAUUUCAGCACAGCAGCGAUUCCAGAGCAGAGAGGAGAGUGAGGUGGUUCAUUUCAUCAGACAGCUACGAGGCCUGAGCACCGAGCAGAAGAGCGAGGCGGUUCAAGUCAUCAGAGAAUCAGAGACCAACACGGCCUGAACAUUGAAC